rnacentral:rRNA from 1 species
UCGCUACUACCGAUUGAAUGGCUUAGUGAGGUCCAGGGAGUGCGUCGUCUCGUUGGGUUUCCUUCGAUUCGCAUGCGUGAACUGGAACAAACUUGAUUAUUUAGAGGAAGUAA